UACGUAGGCAGCGAGCGUUGUUCGGAGUUACUGGGCGUAAAGGGUGUGUAGGCGGUUGUUUAAGUUUGGUGUGAAAUCUCCCGGCUCAACUGGGAGGGUGCGCCGAAUACUGAAUGACUUGGAGUGCGGGAGAGGAAAGUGGAAUUCCUGGUGUAGCGGUGAAAUGCGUAGAUAUCAGGAGGAACACCGGUGGUGUAGACGGCUUUCUGGACCGUAACUGACGCUGAGACCCGAAAGCGUGGGUAGCAAACAGG
rnacentral:rRNA from 1 species